GGGGCUGUAGCUUAGUGAUAGAGCACUUGCCUAGCAUGUGUGAGGCACUGGUUCGAUCCUCAGCACCA
rnacentral:tRNA from 1 species